UGUCGUUCUCGUUUGAUACCAAGAAGAUGCUUUUUUUUUUUUUCUGUCUUCGUGUAUUGCGUCUCCGGUGUAUUAAUGUCGCGUGCGUGUCUCAGGUGAUGGUUCAGAGGCGUCCAUGGUUCUAUAACGAUGAAGACGGUCGACAGGUCGGAGGUUUCGUCAAAGAGUUUGAAAACAUCACCUUCCUCACAGUCAAGGGCUCUGGUCACAUGGUUCCAUCGGAUAAACCAAUCGCUGCUUUCGCCAUGUUCACCAGUUUUAUCAAGAGACAACCCUACUGAGGGGCACCAACCUCCUGCCAGCCAAUCAGCACAGCUCGCUCCUCUGUUGCCUGGCAACCAAACCCUUGCCAGACGAAAUGAAACAGUCACUCCUCUGGUUGCCAUAUCACUUGAGUGGUUGUCAUGGAAACGAUCACUGCCAUCCGCUUCUUUAAUGUGAAACUUCUUCUGCUGUAUGUUUUUGAUUGAAGAACCAGUUCAAUAAAGUUUGAAACAAAAA